rnacentral:rRNA from 1 species
CGCGUAGGCGGCCUGAAAAGUCAGGGGUGAAACCCCUCGGCUCAACCGAGGAACUGCCUCUGAAACUGUCAGGCUCGAGUCCGGGAGAGGGUAGCGGAAUUCCCAGUGUAGCGGUGAAAUGCGUAGAUAUUGGGAAGAACACCUGUGGCGAAGGCGGCUACCUGGACCGGUACUGACGCUGAGGCGCGAAAGCGUGGGGAGCAAACA